rnacentral:tRNA from 1 species
GAGGCGCUAGUAAAACAUAUUACCCUGCCUUGUCAAGGCAGAAUCGUGGGUUAAAGUCCCACGCGCCUUA